CGGCGAAAUGGCCGGCGAUGCAACGGCCAUCCCGUUGCUCCUGGGAUUGGGGCUGGACGAAUUCAGCAUGAGUGCGACUUCGAUUCUGCCGGC
rnacentral:tRNA from 1 species